rnacentral:rRNA from 1 species
CGAACGCUGGUAGCGUGGAUUAGGCAUGCAAGUCGAACGGGAUCCGGGAGGUAGCAAUACUUCCUGGUGAGAGUGGCGGAUUGGGGAGGAACACGUGAGCAACCUGCCUUGGAGUCGGGGAAAACCGUUGGAAACGACGGCUAAUACCGGAUGUGGCGCCCGAAGACAUCUUCGGAGCGCUAAAGGGGGCCGCAAGGCUCUCGCUCCUAGAGGGGCUCGCGCACCAUCAGCUUGUUGGCGGGGUAACGGCCCACCAAGGCCUACGGUUAGCUGGUCUGAGAGGAUGACCAGCCCCACUGGGACUGAGAUACUGCCCAGACUCCUACGGGAGGCUGCAGUCGAGGAUCAUUUGCAAUGGGCGAAAGCCUGACAAUGCGACGCUGCGUGGAGGAUGAAGGCCUUCGGGUUGUAAACUCCUGUCAUGGGGGAACAGGCGAGGGGAGUUAAUACCUCCCUUAGUUGAGUGUACCCCAAGAGGAAUUGGCGGCUAACUCUGUGCCAGCAGCGGC